rnacentral:rRNA from 1 species
AUUGAACGCUGGCGGCAUGCCUUACACAUGCAAGUCGAACGGCAGCAUGAUCUAGCUUGCUAGAUUGAUGGCGAGUGGCGAACGGGUGAGUAAUACAUCGGAACGUGCCCUGUAGUGGGGGAUAACUAGUCGAAAGAUUAGCUAAUACCGCAUACGACCUGAGGGUGAAGGUGGGGGACCGCAAGGCCUCAUGCUAUAGGAGCGGCCGAUGUCUGAUUAGCUAGUUGGUGAGGUAAAGGCUCACCAAGGCGACGAUCAGUAGCUGGUCUGAGAGGACGAUCAGCCGCACUGGGACUGAGACACGGCCCAGACUCCUACGGGAGGCAGCAGUGGGGAAUUUUGGACAAUGGGCGAAAGCCUGAUCCAGCAAUGCCGCGUGUGUGAAGAAGGCCUUCGGGUUGUAAAGCACUUUUGUCCGGAAAGAAAUGGCUCUGGUUAAUACCUGGGGUCGAUGACGGUACCGGAAGAAUAAGGACCGGCUAACUACGUG